AUGGACAUCCAGCGAUUAGUGGGCGUUAAUAUACGACCCGACUAGCAGCUUCCGGGAAACCAAAGUUUUUCGUUUCCGGGGGAAGUAUGGUUGCAAAGCUGAAACUUAAAGGAAUUGACGGAAGGGCACCACCAGGAGUGGAGCCUGCGGCUUAAUUUGACUCAACACGGGAAAACUUACCCGGCCCGGACACUGGAAGGAUUGACAGAUUGAGAGCUCUUUCUUGAUUCAAUGGGUGGUGGUGCAUGGCCGUUCUUAGUUGGUGGAGCGAUUUGUCUGGUUAAUUCCGAUAACGAACGAGACUCUAGCCUACUAAAUAGACUGUUCAGCUUUAUAGCCGGAAUCACCGGGCACGUAGCUCUCGGGUUGCGUGUUCGGCUCUGGUGACGUUGGCAGUGCUUCUUAGAGGGACAGGCGGCGGUUCAGCCGCACGAAACAGAGCAAUAACAGGUCUGUGAUGCCCUUAGAUGUCCGGGGCUGCACGCGCGCUACACUGAAGUGAUCAGCGUGCAAUUUACGUUUGGUGAUCUGUCAAGAUUGCCCAACCCGUUGAACCUUCUUCGUGAUUGGGAUAGGGGAUUGUAAUUAUUCCCCUUGAACGAGGAAUUCCCAGUAAGCGCAAGUCAUAAGCUUGCGUUGAUUACGUCCCUGCCCUUUGUACACACCGCCCGUCGCUACUACUGAUUGAAUGAAUUAGUGAGGUCUUCGGACUGGCCUGUGCUGGCUGUUUCGGCAGCUGCACAUGGCUCGGGAAGAUGCCCAAACUUGUUCAUUUAGAAGAAGUAAAAGUCGUAACAAGUUUUCGUAGUGAUCUGCGGAGAUCAGGCGAUUCGCGCGCUAAAUCAUCGCCUAUAGUGAGUCGAUCAUCGUGUGGGGGCGGCCUGUUUUUUAUACAA
rnacentral:rRNA from 1 species